CAGCCGCCACGGUAAUACGUAGGGUGCAAGCGUUAAUCGGAAUUACUGGGCGUAAAGCGUGCGCAGGCGGUUAUAUAAGACAGAUGUGAAAUCCCCGGGCUCAACCUGGGAACUGCAUUUGUGACUGUAUAGCUAGAGUACGGCAGAGGGGGAUGGAAUUCCGCGUGUAGCAGUGAAAUGCGUAGAUAUGCGGAGGAACACCGAUGGCGAAGGCAAUCCCCUGGGCCUGUACUGACGCUCAUGCACGAAAGCGUGGGGAGCAAACAGGAUUAGAUACCCGGGUAGUCCCUGUCUCUUAUAA
rnacentral:rRNA from 1 species